UACGAAGGGGGCUAGCGUUGUUCGGAAUCACUGGGCGUAAAGAGCUCGUAGGCGGUGUGUCGCGUCGGCCGUGAAAACCUGCAGCUUAACUGUGGGCUUGCGGUCGAUACGGGCAUCACUGGAGUUCGGCAGGGGAGACUGGAAUUCCUGGUGUAGCGGUGAAAUGCGUAGAUAUCUGGAGGAACACCGGUGGCGAAGGCGGCAUCCUGGACCGAAAACUGACACUGAGGCGCGAAAGCCAGGGGGAGCAAACAGG
rnacentral:rRNA from 1 species